UCGGAUUGUAGUCUGCAACCCGACUACAUGAAGCUGGAAUCGCUAGUAAUCGCGAAUCAGCAUGUCGCGGUGAAUACGUUCCCGGGUCUUGUACACACCGCCCGUCACACCAUGGGAGUUGGUAACGCCCGAAGUCAGUGACCUAACCGCAAGGGAGGAGCUGCCGAAGGUGGGGCCAGUAACUGGGGUGAAGUCGUAACAAGGUACC
rnacentral:rRNA from 1 species